CCCGAAGUAUCCUGAAUCUUUCGCAUUGUUAAUCAUACAAGUGCAUAUAAUAAACAUAUAAAAUCAAUGAUCAUCAUGCUAUUAUAUAAUUUAAAAAAUUAACGCACUGUAUUCAUAUAAAUCUAUCAACACUUUAUCAAAUUAAUGACAUUUAUUCUAUGUUAAAUUGCAAGCAAAAUAAUUUGAAUAAACUAUAAUUCAUAUUUUAUGAUAAAUUUAGUUUAUGUUAAUAGAUUACAAUGUCCUUAUAUGGAAAAAAUGCACACUAUUAUUAUAACAUUAUUUAAAUAUUACAAUUUUAAUGAUGAAUUUUCCAUAACGGAUAUUCAGGUUCAUCGGGC
rnacentral:rRNA from 1 species